CGCACGUGUGCCGACAUCCCGAGAUAGCCUGUGUCAAUAAUAAAGUAAACUGUCAUCUCGGAUAUAAAUAGCCGCGUCUCGUGCUUUAUUGAUAAGGGGUUAUCGCGCGGGAAGAUUCCAUGGCAAACAAGAUGCAGCGUAGCUUGGUGACGACCUUACGAUAACGGAUGGAGGAAUAUUUCGAUCUCUGCUUAAGUAGAUCGUAUAAUUCUGCGCGGUGCCCGUUUCCCACGUCAGAAAAUGCAAAAACCGCGCCCAGCCAUAAGGAACAACAAUGGGAAGAAUAAAUUUCAAGGAAGAUGCACUUUGCGUCAUAUUUAAAAAGUGAAAUGCUUAGUGAAAAAGUGAUAUCUCGGUGAAAAAAGUGAAUAUCCCAUGGCGUGACAAGUGAGCGUUGGAUUGCUUGGGAUCGAGGGUGAGAAGGGUGCCCCCCCUCUAUUAUACGAAUUGUUUGUGAAUGCACUUGUCAAGGCAGAGGGGAACAGGGUGUUAUUAUCUGUGAUUUUUGUGAUGAGAUUUAUAUUUGGGCUCCUAAUUUUUUGUUCUUAUAUGAUUUUAAUAUGGGUUACUAACUCAGUUAUGAAUUAUAAUUAGUAUAUAAUUUUAAUUAGACAAUUAGUGCUUCUUAUUAUUGUGAUAGUGAAAUCGGCACUUAAUCUUUGUUGUAGUUUUGGUUCUUUAGAAGUUUUAAGCAACGUUACUAAAUGUUUGUUUAUAUUUAUAUGGAUUUGUUAUGUCUGGGGUCUGAAUUUCCAAUUUUAUGAUAAUAGAUUUGUUAAUUUUUAUAGUUUAUUUUGUAAAAUAAGUUUGUUUUAAAAAAAUAUUAUUAACUUUGAAAAAAUUAACAUACUUGUUUUACAAUUCAUUUUCACUUGCAUGAUGCAGUGAUUAAUUUAAAUUAUUACAACACUUUUAGAAAACUAAAAAACUAGGUAGGUAAAUUUAAAAUGUAAAUACAUAAGGAUGUUUCUUUUUUAGUGCCUUACGAGUAGAUUUUUAGAACAAAAUUGGCUAUUUAUAUUUUGUUUAUUUUAUGUUAGUUUAUCAUGUUGAAUAUUUUUAAAUUAUUAAAAUCUAAUGUUAAUAAUAAAAAAUACUAGUUGAUUUUCGGAAAAUUAAUCAAAUCUUAAGUAAAUUUAUGUUUCGAACCAAUUGAAUUGUGUUAUAGAUUUUGAAAAAAAAACUGAUAAUAAAAAAAGUUAGGGUUUGUUCGUAUUAUUAUUAAGUCUACCUUAUUGUGUUUCUAGUGUGGGAAUUUCAGUUACGAAAUUUAAUGAAAACCGAGGGUGGAAAAUAAAAGGCGUAUAUAAAUCACCCCUAAUCGUUUAUUUUUUGCCUUCUACACUUGUUACGUCACCCACACUCUGAAGGUUGAACCAAAUUAAACAUACUCAUGCGUAAACUGUACAUUUUUAUUAUGAACUUUAUGUCUAUUGAUUUAUAGUCCAUUUUAUGUGUGGUGUGUAAUUGUAAGCGCAAAAUAACUUGGUUGAAGGUCAGAGAAUAUGGGGGCGGUGAAUUUCAGGGGUUGUUGAACAAUUAACCGAAUCGCAGGUAAACUUAUUUCGAUUUAGUACAAAAAAAGGUCAGAUCAUUUUGCAUUUGUAUAGAUGUGAUUAGAUCGUGAAUUAUUAAUGCGUAUUUGUAUUGUAAUCUUAUACUUAUUUUAUACAAAUAAAAAAUUUUAUAUGGAA